UAUCAUCAGGUAAAACCACCUUAAUAUCUUCAGUAUUAAGCUCUAAUUAAGCUAUAAUGAU
rnacentral:tRNA from 1 species